AGGACGAACGCUGGCGGCGUGCUUAACACAUGCAAGUCGAGCGGAAAGGCCCUUCGGGGUACUCGAGCGGCGAACGGGUGAGUAACACGUGAGUAAUCUGCCCCUAGCUCUGGGAUGGCUCCGGGAAACCGGGAUUAAUACCGGAUACGACCACCUUAGACAUCUUUUGUGGUGGAAAGAAUUUCGGCUAGGGAUGAGCUCGCGGCCUAUCAGCUUGUUGGUGGGGUAACGGCCUACCAAGGCGACGACGGGUAGCCGGCCUGAGAGGGCGACCGGCCACACUGGGACUGAGACACGGCCCAGACUCCUACGGGAGGCAGCAGUGGGGAAUAUUGCGCAAUGGGCGAAAGCCUGACGCAGCGACGCCGCGUGGGGAUGAAGGCCUUCGGGUUGUAAACCCCUUUCAGCAGGGACGAAGCGAAAGUGACGGUACCUGCAGAAGAAGCGCCGGCUAACUACGUGCCAGCAGCCGC
rnacentral:rRNA from 1 species